rnacentral:rRNA from 1 species
GAUGAACGCUGGCGGCGUGCCUAAUACAUGCAAGUCGAGCGAACAGAUGAGAAGCUUGCUUCUCUGAUGUUAGCGGCGGACGGGUGAGUAACACGUGGGUAACCUACCUAUAAGACUGGGAUAACUCCGGGAAACCGGGGCUAAUACCGGAUAAUAUUUUGAACCGCAUGGUUCAAUAGUGAAAGACGGUUUCGGCUGUCACUUAUAGAUGGACCCGGGCCGUAUUAGCUAGUUGGUAAGGUAACGGCUUACCAAGGCGACGAGACGUAGCCGACCUGAGAGGGGGAUCGGCCACACUGGAACUGAGACACGGUCCAGACUCCUACGGGAGGCAGCAGUAGGGAAUCUUCCGCAAUGGGCGAAAGCCUGACGGAGCAACGCCGCGUGAGUGAUGAAGGUCUUCGGAUCGUAAAACUCUGUUGUUAGGGAAGAACAAAUUUGUUAGUAACUGAACAAGUCUUGACGGUACCUAACCAGAAAGCCACGGCUAACUACGUGCCAGCCGCCGCCGUAA